CGGCGUGGGGUUUCCACCCCCGAUGCGUCCACCUUGACCGAGUGACUGAGUCCCGAAUCGACUCCAGAGGAGCGAGUUCCGCCCCCUCGGCUUGGCUGAGGGGUCGGCGCUGGUUAUCCCUUGCGAGUGGAAGGAAUGGAAGAACACCGAAACAACUCUCAGCAACGGAUAUCUUGGCUCUUGCAACGAUGAAGAACGCAGCGAAAUGCGAUACGUAGUGUGAAUUGCAGAAUUCCGCGAAUCAUCGAGUCUUUGAACGCAAGUUGCGCCCGAGGCUUGUCCAAGGGCAUUUCCGCUAGAGCGUCACCGCGCCCCCCCCCACCGAUCCGUUCCCUCCGGGAGUCGGGUCGAGUGAAAGUGGCCAUCCCCGUGGGGGCCUCCUCCCGCGAGGAAGGGAGGUCUUCCCGAGGGUUGGCUGAAAUGGAUGGAAUCGGGCCGCCGUGGCGACACAGUCCGCGAUCGGGUGAUCCGGGCUCCCCCGGGAGUCCGGGAUUUUUCUAAGUGCGUGGCUGCGUCUCCCAGUCGGUCGUGGAUUUCCUCGUGCAGGUCAGACCUCGUCACGCAUCAGUC
rnacentral:rRNA from 1 species